rnacentral:rRNA from 1 species
UACAGAGGUGCCAAGCGUUAGGCGGAAUCACUGGGCUUAAAGCGUGUGUAGGCGGAAUGGUAAGUACCUUGUGAAAUCCCACGGCUCAACCGUGGAACUGCUUGGUAUACUGCUUUUCUUGAGCCACUUAGGGGCAACCGGAACAAACGGUGGAGCGGUGAAAUGCGUAGAUAUCGUUUGGAACGCCAAUGGUGAAAACAGGUUGCUGGGAGUGUGCUGACGCUGAGACACGAAAGCCAGGGGAGCAAACGGA